rnacentral:rRNA from 1 species
AACGAACGCUGGCGGCAGGCUUAACACAUGCAAGUCGAGCGAAUGGAUUAAGAGCUUGCUCUUAUGAAGUUAGCGGCGGACGGGUGAGUAACACGUGGGUAACCUGCCCAUAAGACUGGGAUAACUCCGGGAAACCGGGGCUAAUACCGGAUAACAUUUUGAACCGCAUGGUUCGAAAUUGAAAGGCGGCUUCGGCUGUCACUUAUGGAUGGACCCGCGUCGCAUUAGCUAGUUGGUGAGGUAACGGCUCACCAAGGCAACGAUGCGUAGCCGACCGGAGAGGGUGAUCGGCCACACUGGGACUGAGACACGGCCCAGACUCCUACGGGAGGCAGCAGUAGGGAAUCUUCCGCAAUGGACGAAAGUCUGACGGAGCAACGCCGCGUGAGUGAUGAAGGCUUUCGGGUCGUAAAACUCUGUUGUUAGGGAAGAACAAGUGCUAGUUGAAUAAGCUGGCACCUUGACGGUACCUAACCAGAAAGCCACGGCUAACUACGUGCCAGCCGCCGCAGUAA